rnacentral:rRNA from 1 species
AGAGUUUGAUCCUGGCUCAGAAUGAACGCUGGCGGCGUGCCUAACACAUGCAAGUCGUACGAGAAAUCUCCUGCUUGCAGGAGAGAGUAAAGUGGCGAACGGGUGAGUAACGCGUGGGUAAUCUUCCUUCAAAUCUGGGAUAACAUUGCGAAAGCGAUGCUAAUGCCGGAUGGCAUCCCGCGACUUCGGUUGUCGGGAUUAAAGGUGGCCUCUACAUGUAAGCUACUGUUUGGAGAUGAGCCCGCGUGCCAUUAGCUUGUUGGUGAGGUAACGGCUCACCAAGGCGACGAUGGCUAGCUGGUCUGAGAGGAUGAUCAGCCACACUGGAACUGACACACGGUCCAGACUCCUACGGGAGGCAGCAGUGAGGAAUCUUGCGCAAUGGGGGAAACCCUGACGCAGCAACGCCGCGUGAGUGAUGAAGGCUUUCGGGUCGUAAAGCUCUGUCAAGUGGGAAGAACCUGCCUGAUGCUAAUACCAUCAGGCACUGACGGUACCACUGGAGGAAGCACCGGCUAACUCCGUGCCAGCAGCCGCGGUAAGACGGAGGGUGCAAGCGUUAUUCGGAAUUACUGGGCGUAAAGGGCGCGUAGGCGGCUCUUUAAGUCAGGCGUGAAAGCCCGGGGCUUAACCCUGGAAGUGCGUUUGAUACUGAAGAGCUUGAGUACGGGAGAGGGAAGUGGAAUUCCUGGUGUAGAGGUGAAAUUCGUAGAUAUCAGGAGGAACACCGGUGGCGAAGGCGGCUUCCUGGACCGAUACUGACGCUGAGGCGCGAAAGCGUGGGGAGCAAACAGGAUUAGAGACCCUGGUAGUCCACGCUGUAAACGAUGAACACUAGGUGUAGCGGGUAUUGACCCCUGCUGUGCCGUAGCUAACGCAUUAAGUGUUCCGCCUGGGGACUACGGUCGCAAGGCUAAAACUCAAAGGAAUUGACGG